GGACAGAUGCCCGAGUGGCUAAAGGGGACGGACUGUAAAUCCGUUGGCUUUACGUCUGCGGUGGUUCGAAUCCACCUCUGUCCA
rnacentral:tRNA from 1 species